UGGAAACCUGUACCACUUUCACAGGAAUUGCUACAAUGACCAAGUGGACAUUGCCAGAGCAGGGCUGUGCUGCACAGGACACCUCAUUCCACCCUGAAACAGCAGCAGGUGGAGCUGCCUUUGCUCCUGAGAAGGUGAAAAUCCACAGGUCCCUCAAAUACAGGCAUUACACAGAAACAAUGGCUCCAUCUAAGAAGUAGAGUUGCUGAAGACAACAAAAUACACAAAUAAGAAAGUUUGUUCCUCACUCCCUCUUCUUUUCUCCAUGGGUGGUGAUGUUCAGAAAUGCCUCAGUUUGGAUCAGCCUGUACCUACUCUCAGUGUGAGGCAUCUCAGAUGCAGAUCAUCCUGCCUAUCUAAAGAGAUUUGUUUGUGAGAAAUAUCAUCAGAGUCUCCUUUUAGCUGAUUAGAGUCCAGUCUAUAUGAUUAAAUCUACUUUAGGAUGAGACAAAUCCUCGACAGGUUCCAGUGAUUGAUUGCAUCUUCUUAGGUCUUCAAGGGCAGCGAGACAAGCAGCUUAGGUGCAAAUGACCACAUCAUACACUCCUAAACUUUGAGGAUGAUGAAUACUAUCCAGAGACCUGCCUCCUGAAACUUGGUGUGGCCACAUACACAGCUCAAGUCAUGACUUGAACACUAAAACACUGUAGAAACUCCUGGGCUCCCCCAGCCCACCAAGCCUGAAUCUGGUAUUGGUACUAUCAAAGCGCUUGUCCUGAGGGUUCAGCAAGUCAGGACACUCCUGGAGCCUGAGCCAGCAAAUGUCACAACCCGCAUCUAAGCUCAGUACCCCCAGUCCUGCCACCUCCUCCUGCCCUCAGACAGCCUUCAGGCUUUGCAAUUAGCCCUGGCUCUAAAGGCCCAUCAACUAAAACAUGCUCUGUGCCACAUGGGAGAAAAGUUGGACAUGCAAGUAACUCACAGCUCUGUGCCUCCACUCUCCCAGCAGUUUUCUUGGCAGCUCUGUGCUUGUAGCAGUGCAAAAUCCAGGUGGUUACAAAGCUCCUUCCUUAGGAACUCCCAGCCUGAAGGAUUCCUGGGUUAGGUUGCUCCUCCUUGUACCAGAGCAGAGAAAUACAGAAGAAGAGGAAAAUGAGGCAGAUUUCUUUAAGGUCAUAGGGGUGGUUGAUAGGUUUCCCUCCACAAGUAAUCUGCAUGUAUGUCUACCCUCCUGAAAAGUGUAACCUGCAGUUUCAGACACUCAUUUCCAGGGAGAGCAUGCACCAGAUGCCAGGUUAAAUGGCUUUGGCACAGGAAGGGCUGAAUCACCAAGAGAGCUUAAAGGAGAGUCAAAUGAUAGAACAACUCUUAGUUUUGAAUGUUGGUUUCAAAAUUAUUUUCUGACAAAGUGAAUUUGCUUUCUUCUUCUAGUUAGAAAUGUUCUGUGAAUGUCUUUUUUCAUUUACUCUAAAUGCUUCUCCACUACCAGCACAUAUGUCUCAUCCCAUUUUUGUCUGUUUUUCUCCUCAUGUGGGAAUGAAGAUGACACAACUGCAAACAGUAAGUACCUUACAUGGUGAGUAUGUAGAUCCAGCUGAAGGAGAUUGCACAUUUUUAUUUUCUUUUUUGCGAGGACGCUAUCUUCCCCAACACUUCUUCAUUAUAUUUGAGAAAAAAAAAAAAAAACCUUCUAAAGAACUUAUUCUCAAUGCUGUAUCAGCCAGGCACUGCCUAUGCAGUGACCUGAAGUGGCAGCUGGCAGCACAGGAAUAAAGAGUCACGUAUUUAGGCACUGUGCUCAUUAGCUGUUUAACCAGAGAGGUAUCAAGAUACUCCUAAGCUACUUCUGUCCUACAACAAACAACACAUUAUUGGAUAAAACAAAAGCACCCACUUGGAGGCCAGCACAGGACACCACAAUUGCCAUAUAAUCCAGAGCCCUGCAGCUGACCAGUUUUCUAGCAAGUGAUUCUGUCUCAGGCUGUUCUAGCAUGGGGGAAGAUCCCGUAAUUCAUAUAUUUCAUAUGGAGCCAUUACAGCUCAUCAGCUACUUAUCAGAGGGGCUCCGCUACAGUUAAGUUUUUAUGCUGAAAUUCCCAUAAUAUGCAGACACGGGAGCCUGUGGCCUCUCUUCCACAGCACACCAAAAAUCUUUGGAAUACCCAUCUGAUCCAUAUAAGUUAUUCACAAGUAAUAACUUCAGCUGAAAAUGCCAACCUCUACUUCCAGGCAAGGCAACAGACCAUAAAAUCUCCAUGGCCUGUGAUCAUUGCUCAGUUUCUCAUCCUACGAAAAAACCAAUCAAGGGGAAAAGUGAAAUUCAGUGUUUCCCACAUGAAUGCAUCCAUGGCUUCCCAGGAGGGCAUUGUUUGACAAGCAGCUAGGAGGCCAUUGAAGCAGGCUCUGUUCCCCAGCAAUGCUGCUUUUCCACAGGCUCAGUGAUGAAGGCACAAGCCUUACACACACAAAAGCCACAGCUGUGGCUCCAUCACCAGCUGAAAUCUAUUUUUAAAGCUGUCUCCAUGUACACAGAAGCAAGUCCUCCAAGCCUGAUUUUUCUCUAGCCCUUGCAGUUUAGGUUAAGAACAAAUAAUACCUUUUGCACAAGCAGGAACUAAUUAGCUCUUCAAAGCUCCCCUUCACAGGUGAAAUCAGCUAAGGAGGGUGGGACAGUCUCACAUGUGCUGGCUGCAGCUCAAAGCCCAAAGGCAGAGCCCAGCUCUGAUCUCUGCUGGUCCUGCUCAGUAUGCAGGAAAGGCUGCCAUCUCCUCCCAUGUGCUGCACUGAGUGCUGGCUUCUUACUGACUGUUCAUAGCAGUAAAUAUGACAGCUAUUUGUGAAACAAAGGAAGGGUUUUCUUCAUUCUCAACUUUGAAGACUUUUUUAGUUGAGGGAAUGUACAUGUAUUGGUUUUGUUCUCUGAGCAUUUCUAGCUACCAGCCUGACAACAUUUAAGUAAGAACUUACUAGGUGGGUCAGGCCAUGGAGCACACAGAAAUAUUCUGUUUCAGAAGGGGCAGGUGGAUCUGUUUAGGGUACAUUUGCAGGUCGACUCUCUCUAGUGUUCACAAUUACUAGAUAUUGGAUAUUAGGAAACACAGCACUGACUACACCUCUCAUUAUCCUAUAAACUUGGGAUUUGCCCAUGGAAGUAUCUAUUAGUUGGUAUCUGCAGGUUCACAACCUUAUCUUUGUGACAUCCUGUGGCAGCAGAUUGCAGGUUUUUAUUACUUACUGAAUGAAGUGUUUAUCCACACGUGGGACAUCCCAAGAAAUGUUCUGCUGCAGCCACCACUGAAGUACUUGGUGAUCCUAGAAAAGAUACCGCUCCUAUCACGUACCUGUACCGUGAAACAGUGUCCUUAGUCUGUUCUGUUGUGUUUCCUGAGUGGGAAGCAUGCACUGAACCCAGCAGCACCCCCCACACUCCCCUCAUCCUAGUACACUUUCUUCCUUUCCCUGGGACAGGCUCACCCUGCUCUCCAUCACAAUUACUUCUGAAACACCCACCAGUCCUGGUCAAAGUGUUGAUGACAAGCACAUCUCAUCUAACAUGAACUGAGAGCAAGGGUCUUGGAGAACAGAGAAAAUACAGUCUGACUGAAGUAUUUUCUGGUUUUGUAGAUAGAUCCUGGCUAGUUACCUUCAGGCUGGAGUCUGGCCAAGAGAAAAAAGAGAAGCCCUGUCUUUUUUAGCCUUAAACACCACAGAUACAAAAGGUUGGCUUCAGCUUUUCCUCCUGCUGGCCACAGGGCAGAGGCUUUUUCCUUCUGUCCAAGCUCCCACAGGAUGGGUGGGUGGUCACAGCUACAGUGGUCCAUAGCAUUGGCAAGCACCUGCUUUCCAGUGGCAUUUGUGCUCCCCAUGGAGCUGCCAGCUGCCAGGCAGAGGAGUGGUUUAAGAGCCAGUGCCACCCUCAGCCCUAUUUUGGUGUUACAGACAGACCAAUUUUUAAUCCCAGCAUUUUAUCUCAGUUUUGAUUUGGACAGUCUCACAAGCACCAGAGAUCACUAACACAAGAGCAGGAGCCCUUCAGACCUGAAUAGCAGAUGAAGACUUCUCAGGCACACACCUGCACAGCCUGAGUUUCCCUGGCAAGCCACACAGACUGAAUUAAAAAAAAAAAAAAAAAAAAAAAAA
rnacentral:lncRNA from 1 species